GAUCCUGCAAGUAACCAAAUUAAGAAAUUUGGAAGAUCAACGGUUGUUUACCAAUUUUCUAGGUAAAUAAAUAUAAGAAACUAUAUUGUUUCAACAAGUCUGCUUAAUAUUUGAUGAGCAACGGCAUGAUUGUUUUCAAAAUGUUUGCCAAGUGACACAAAACCAGAAUGUAAUUCUUGUGGAUGAAGGUCACAAAUAUUCUCAACAGAUGAACAAUAUGCAUGUUUAUAAACCAAAUGAAAGUGUUUAAAGUUCCACAUCCAAAAAAAAUUACCAAAUGAAAGUGUUUAUAAACCUCUUUACACAAUAUAUUUUAAAUAUUCAUGUAUUGGACUUUGGAAAAGAUCACGUGGCUUUAAGUCUUAAAAUAAUAUUUUAAUAAUUAAUUUAUAAAUAGAUUUU
rnacentral:lncRNA from 1 species